AUGCCUCCCAGGCUCCUUCUGGGAGGCAGAGGCAGCAAAACCGUGAUCACCGGCCUUAAUACCAUCUAUGCUUGGACACCUAUUGGCUUCAACAUUACAAUGAGACCAGGCACAAAAACCCACAACGUGUCUUGGGAAUCCCCUGCCAAGGGCACCAUCAAUCUCCAGGAGCGCUCUAAUACUCUGUAUGUCAUCGGCUGUGGUGUGGAGGCAUUCUUGUACGAUCACGACACCGGCGAUACACUCGGCUCAUGCAUGAGUACAUGCACAUCCAACAUGGAGAAGGAAGCAGAAGGCUGCGAUGGCGUCGGCUGCUGCCGGAUCCGCAUCAAAAGGGAGUUGGGAGGCUUUCAGUUAACACUUGCCCGCCUCGACGACUUCGUCCAACAAUCAGAUGAGCUGCUGUCUCAUGUCAAGGUCUUCGUUUCAGAACUAGGGGAUUUUGGUUUUCGUACAAGUGAUCUUUUCUCAGGCUGGAUAAACACAAGCAGAUGGCACUAUGAGGAUGCGGAACUCCGGGGUUCUAUAACGGACCAGCCUAGCUGCCAAAUGGCAUACAAGAAUAAGGCCUAUGUUUGUACCGCCAACAGCGAUUGCCGCAAUGCAUCGCACGGCUACUAUUGCUGGUGCUCCGAAUAUUAUGAAGGCGGCAAUCCUUACGUUAUUGACGGUUGCAUCGAAGGUUACAAUCCAGUUCCUAAAAAGGAUUGCUCAAGAUCAUGUGGAAACACAAGCAUUCCUUUUCCUUUCGGGGUCGAAGAAGGUUGUUAUGCUCAUGAAAAGUUUGGGCUUAACUGUACAACGGAUAAUGUCACCGUACUUGAUCGGGGAGUAAUAAAAUAUCAUGUGUACAAUGUAUCAGUGGCCGAUGGUUAUUUAAGUGUAAGAAAUAUACCGAACGAUACAGCAUACAACUUCCAAGAGUUCAUGGUACCCACCAAAGAUGGUGAAGAAGCGAUGCAAGAUGGUGCCCGCAAUGAUAUAUUUGAGUUGUCUCAAGAAUAUGACAUGCAAAUGUGGUGGGCUGUUAGGAAUAUAACUUGUCAAAAAGCUAUGAAACAUAAAGCUACGUACGCAUGCCGCAGUGUCAACAGCAACUGCCUUCUUGUCAACCAUGGGAAAAAACAGCUUGGCUAUCGGUGCAAUUGUUCCCAAGGAUUUCAGGGAAAUCCGUAUAUUGAAGAUGGGUGCAAAGACAUCAACGAGUGCUUACUGCCAGAUUCUUGCAGCGGUAUAUGUCACAAUUUUGAUGGAGGUUACUAUUGCAUGAGUUGCCCACACGGAAAAGAAUUUGAUGCAACAAAAAGGAAGUGUGUUAUGUCAGUAAAGCAACGCAAUAUUCUUAUAGGAAUUGCAACUGGAAUAAGCUGUGGCUUUGGCUCAAUAAUUCUAGGGCUGAGUGCAAGUGUACUCGCUCAUAAGUGGAAGCAAAGCAUUCAGAAAAGUACUCGAAGAGCAUGGUUCAAGAAAAAUCAAGGCCUACUAUUGGAACAACUAAUUUCAGAUGAAUGCAGCACAAGCAAAACAAACAUAUUCACCUUGCAGGAACUUGAGGUGGCGACCAACAAUUUUGAUGCUACUCGUGUUCUUGGUUCUGGAGGACAUGGCACAGUUUACAAGGGGAUUCUAUGUGAUCAACGUGUGGUGGCCAUUAAAAAAUCCAAAAUUGAGAAGCAAGCUGAAAUAGACCAGUUUAUCAACGAAGUUGCUAUCUUGUCUCAAAUCAUACACCGCAACAUCGUGAAGCUAUUUGGUUGUUGUCUAGAAUCUGAAGUGCCCUUAUUGGUCUAUGAGUUCAUAUCUAAUGGCACGUUAUAUGAUCUUCUUCACACUGGUGUUGGGUGUUUGUUAUCAUGGGAAGAUCGUAUUAAGAUUGCAGUAGAGGCUGCAGGUGCUAUUGCUUAUCUCCACUCAGCUGCAGCAAUACCAAUUUUUCAUAGAGAUGUGAAGUCUUCCAACAUACUCCUAGAUGGCAGCUUCACCACAAAGGUGUCUGAUUUCGGUGCUUCAAGAUCUAUUUCUCUUGACGAGAGUCAUGUGGUGACUAAGGUCCAAGGCACGUUUGGUUACUUAGAUCCAGAGUAUUACCAUACCGGCCAACUAACUGAGAAAAGUGAUGUGUAUAGUUUUGGGGUGAUACUCGCGGAACUUCUCACAAGAAAGAAGCCGGUUUUUAAUGAUAAUUCAGGCAUAAAACAAAGUUUGUCUCAUUACUUCGUUGAAGGACUUCAAGAUGGAAUGCUUAUGGAAAUCAUCGAUCCUCAAGUUGUGGAAGAGGCAAACAAAGAAGAUAUUGGUGAAAUUGCCUCGCUUAUAGAAGUUUGCUUGCGUCUCAAAGGAGGAGAGAGACCUACUAUGAAAGAAGUAGAUAUGAGGCUGCAAUUCCUAAAGAGUGGGAGGCUAAGAAAGCUCCAAGCUUGCAGAGAUGAUGGAGAGAGCAAUUGUGUGAACGCUGUCAUUGUGAAAUCUGAAGGCAAUUCUGGGUGCUACAGUUUGGAGCAAGAGUUCCUGUUAUCGGCCAGUUUACAACGUUAA
rnacentral:rRNA from 1 species